rnacentral:pre_miRNA from 1 species
GAAGAGGUCGCGGUCUGACAAAGACAGAGAACGCGAGAAAGACCGCAGAUCUCGGAA